rnacentral:rRNA from 1 species
UACGAAGGGGGCUAGCGUUGCUCGGAAUCACUGGGCGUAAAGGGUGCGUAGGCGGGUCUUUAAGUCAGGGGUGAAAUCCUGGAGCUCAACUCCAGAACUGCCUUUGAUACUGAAGAUCUUGAGUUCGGGAGAGGUGAGUGGAACUGCGAGUGUAGAGGUGAAAUUCGUAGAUAUCGGGAGGAACACCAGUGGCGAAGGCGGCGACCUGGACGGACAUUGACGCUGAGACGCGAAAGCGUGGGGAGCAAACAGG